rnacentral:lncRNA from 1 species
GAGGGUUUUGAAAAUUUUGAAAACAAAGCUUGCUUUAGUUCCUCAAAUGGCUCACUCGAUCACUUAGUGGUGUUUGAUAAACCUCACCAAGGCCAGAAGUGAUAGCCUUUAUUACCUACAUCUAAUGGGAAGAUAUGUGGAGCUAUGGGUAGGCAAAAACUAAGCAAACUUGUGAUGUGUAUAUUGUUAAGCUAGACACUUAGAUCGCUAGGAGCAACAGGUCAUGCAGAAUUGAUCAAGAUAUGGUGAAGGUGGUUGGUUUAAUGGAAGGUGGGAAAGGAAUGAAGGAAAAAUACUCCUUGAGACUUCCCCAUGUCUCUUGAAGGGGGAUAUGGUUACAAUGGAU